UACGAAGGGUGCAAGCGUUGCUCGGAAUUAUUGGGCGUAAAGGGCAAGUAGGUGGUCAUGAAAGUCUAUUGGUGAAAUCCCUAAGCUUAACUUAGGAAGUGCCGUGGAAACUUCAUGACUAGAGUAUCGGAGAGGUUCGUGGAAUUCCCGGUGUAGCGGUGAAAUGCGUAGAGAUCGGGAGGAACACCAGAGGCGAAGGCGGCGAACUGGACGAUUACUGACACUCAAUUGCGAAAGCGUGGGGAGCAAACAGG
rnacentral:rRNA from 1 species